CUGGGCAUGCCCCAAUCGUCAGGCUGGGUACGCUGAAGUGCAUUUUCUAAUUAAACCACAGGUCAGGCAUCUAUAUAUGAUGCUUUUUAUGCAUUCUUGCAUAUGUACUUCGGUAGAACUUGGCAGCAUAUAACAACUUUCAUAGGUAAAAAUAUUAAACUGAAAACAAGUAUCCACUCAGUACAUGGAAUUCGAUGUCAUAAAAAGGACUGCUCGGUUCAAAUGGCAUAACAGUUUAAUCUAAGUUUACAUCAAGCAAAAUAACAAUAAUUCUAAGUUUGUAUCUCAGAAAUUACAUCUUCUUCCUCCUUGGGGUAAUUUUUUUCUUGCAUGCCGUAGAGCUUGAAGGGAUGUGAGAAGUAGGCGAUGGUGCAGAAACAUUCGUUGUUCCAGAUGGUUGUGAUGCAUUGCCUUCGGCUAUGGCCAUAGCAAGUCUCCUGUAUAUUUACACAUACGUUACAAAAGCCGGAUUUCUUUUGCAUGAAUCAAAUGUGCAUAUGGAAAAUAUAAACAGUUACCUCCUUGAAAUAGGCCCAGGGCUGUUAUGAAGGCUGGGAGGCACUGUGAUUGUUGUUGUGCGUGUGGGUGUCGCAACAACAGCUGGAGCGAGCUCG
rnacentral:lncRNA from 1 species